GGUUCUUCAUCUAUACUGUGACAAUAUAAGUUCUUUCCUACAUUUUGAUAGCUGAUAGGUGCUUUCAAGUACUGCAUUGUACUGUAGCUCUUUCAGGCUUAAGGCCCAGCUCUACAUAAAACACUGGCUGUCCAUUCUUUGUUUUCUUUUCUUUUAACCCUUGUCCUAUAUUGAUAGAUGAUCUUUAGUAUGCACUCAGCAGCAUGGCCAUGAACCUGACUGUGAAAGCCGAGCUCUGCAAACAGUCUUGAUAAUAGAUAGGAAAAUUACCAUCAUACAGUGGCCUUCAAAACAUGUUAUCAAAAAAAGCCGCAUUGGUGGUAUGGUCCUGUGAUCUUAGCAUUACAGAACAAACACCAGAGCGACAUAGUAAGAGCCUGUACAAAAAUUAAAAAUACAGAAAAAAAAAACAAAAAAACAAACAAACAAAAAAACCCCAAAAACCAAAAACCAAACAAACCAAACAAACAAAAAACCCAAACCUUUGAAAAUAUUAAAACUUCCCUACUAUAGCUGUAUUAGAAAACAAAAAUAAUACUAAUGUUGAAAGUAUUACAUGGCAGAUCAGACUGCUAAAACGUCAGUAUUUUAAAUGUCAUGUUAAAUAUAGCUUGAUGCUUUUUGUCUUGCUCUGUGGCUUUGGAAACAGAGCAGACAUCCCCUGGUAAACUGUCAGGCUCCCUUCUUAGUUCCUAUUAGCCUGCAGCUGGCAGCUUUAUACUCUGUUUCAGGGUUCAGAAUUCUGUGAUGUGGUUUUUUUUAUUUGAUGUUUUUGUUGUUGGAGUUUGCUAUUGUUUGUUUUUUUGUUUGUUUUGCCAUUUGUUUUCCAGAGUCACAUCCUCAGGGACAUUCCCAUUGUCACAUGAUCCUUAACUUCACUCGUGUUAGUGAGUUCACCAUCCUCGAGCUGCCCAGGCUGCAUCUGGAGUGGUGCUCCGUGGUGGCAGUGUCAGCAUCCCCAUAGCAGCUCUCCUGUAACUCUGCUUAUGGUCUAUUGCAAUGUCACACGCAGUGCUCACACUUGUCAUUUCCUGGCUCGUUCACCCCUCUUGCCCAGUUUCCUUUUUUGAUGAUACAUUGAGUGCCUGUGGGCUGAUCACUGGGAGACGAGGGGAGAUAUCAUAACCAGGCGCUUGGCUGUCUGCCCAAACUUAGCAUAACCAUGCAGUGGCUGGUCUUCAGUAGUUGUGACAUGAUGACACUUCUUCUAUUUAUUUCAUAUUGUGAGUUGUGUAUUAAAGACGUCUCAUGGAGCAUACUUCAUGACUACUCUCUGGUUGCACUUUGGUAAUGAAACUUCAAACUGUAUUUGAAGGACUAGAGUUACACAAGUUAACCAUGGGACCCAUGCAUGCCAGAAGAGUGUAACAUGAGAGCUACUGGGAUUUACUUCUGUGUAUUCUAGACACCAUUCAUUUACUUUUUCUUCUUGUGCCCACUCAAAAUUGCCCCACGAGGAAUUUGGUUAUCUCUUGGUGCUAUUUGGGAAAAUGUCACUAUGAUCAUUGUUGGGAAAUUUGAGAAAAUCAAUUUUCCAUCAUAAGAGCCUUGAGGACUCAUGUAAGUCCUCAAAGCCUAGAUUAUUGAAAGUAACAAGACCUUUCUUUGAAAGCACUUGUAAACCAAGUGAUGUUUUUAGGGGUUUUUCUUACUGAACAGGAAAAAUAAUUCGGGAGAAAUGAGGGCAAACACUACAUUGCAGUGGCGAUUUCUAUCCAAACCAGAGAACAAAAGUAUUCUGACAAAUAUUAUUACAGAAAGUCAGUCUGUGACCUGGUUGGUGACCCCUAAUGGUAAUGUGAAUUUAUGCUAAGUUUAAUGUGAAUUUUAUUCAACAGUGUUAAGCUUGGCUCUUCCCUGGAGUGCUCAUACGAUCACUAAGCCAUGUCGUUACUCACUGACUUCAUUGUAGGAAGAAUUGGGCCAAACUGUAGCACAGCAUUCUACUCUUACAUAAAUAGAGUCACCAAUUCCUUUACACUUUCAAAAUCUGACAGCACUACUCAUGAAUAUCCUCUGAAAUUCUGAAAACUUUCAUUAGACCAGAAUAAUUUGUCUUUGGGAGAUGUCUGCUGGACAUUCCCUUCUGUUGUGCUCAUAUAUUUGCC
rnacentral:lncRNA from 1 species